AGAGCCCCUGGUCCACUGUGAACACAGAAUGGAAAUGGAACCCACAGCAGCUUCCUGAGUGCUGGUUACUUCUCAGGUCCCAUCUCCAUAGAAACGGGAGGACCACCAGGUACCGCAACCAUCUCCCACAGGCAGGAAAUCUCCGGAAAGCAAACAAAUGGGCCACAUCUUAUAGACAGAAUGGAGCACACGGGAGGGGUCGCCACUUACCUUGGACUUUGAUUUCCCUCGUGCUGCAGGCAUCCUUUCCCCGGGACUUUGAUGAUCCACAUUCAAAGGCUGAGACAGAGUGCUGGGAGAAAAGAGAGAUCAUGAAGCUCAAUGGCCUUUGGAGUGACCCCGAUAUAGGCCAAGCAGGCUCCUGAUCAGGACACAGAUGAAGAAUAUACAGACACCCAGCCCUCCAUCUGACUAGUGACUGCUGGUGCCAGGCUCUGCCAUGACAGCUAAAGCAGGAAGGUACCUGCUCCCAUGUACCAUUCGUUCAGGCAAGGAAAACAAGUCCACACGGCACACGAUGACUUAGGUCAAGAGCAGGAAUCCUGACUGUUCUGUUCACUGCCCUACUCAGAGCUACUACACCCAGAGAAGCUGCCUAACAAAAAGCAGAUUAUAGGCCCAAUGAAUGGUUGCUUCUUCUGUCAGUGAUCAAUACUGAAAAAAACGAGGCUGGGAUGAAAUGAAGGGUCUGUUGGUGCUGCCUGCAGAGACUCAACAAGGUCACUCCAAAAAGGUUCUGUGACUUCCACCAUGUUGGUGGGUAACAGUGGCUGGCCCCAGGCCCUCUGCAUCUACCCCCACCACCUCCAUUUAUCUCCCUCCAGAUACCCUGAUUAGGAAGACACACAACAGGUUCCACAGGUCAGGGUAGGCUGUAUCUUCCCUUCAGAACCAUACUUGGGCAGACACCAAGAAGGCAAGUGCUUGCCUAGGGGUAGAAGGGGUGGGGGGUGCGAGCGGUUCUCAAAGCAGAGAGACCAGAACAUCUGCUGGAGGUGGAAGAUGGCCAAAUUCCAAAGCAGACACAAAUUUUUCUGAGAUUCCGCACAAUCCUACCUGGACACAGGUAAACAGCACAGCACAAAACCCGCACUCCCAGAACUACAACAAAGGCCAGACCUACAGGGUACUCACUACGUCCCAGGCAGCACACCUUUAGCCUCCCAUCAACACCGACAGGCUGUUUAUCCUGUUGUACAGAACCAAGUCUCAUCCUUAACAGGUUCAGUUUCCCAGAGUAGCCAUCACAUCUCCUGCUCUAGAGGAGCCCGUUGCCACAGUAACAAAUGAGAUAAGGCACAAUCAAUCACGCAUUGGCACACAUUCAACAAAGCCACAGACAUCUGGUGGCGCGCAGUAUCUCUAGACUGUGAUAAACAGCUUCCUCUCUCUCUCUCUCUCCUCUCUCUCUCUCUCUUUCUCUCUCUCUCUCACACACACACAUUUUCGCACACGCACUGCUAGCGACAACAGAGACACUCAAAACUGUGUGCCCACACCUACUCUCGCAGCACCCUCCAGCCUGCGGGGGCUUCCUUUUCUCACUACAACGCCACAAAUCAGGCACCUGUUCCUGGGCCUCACAGGCCCGGCACACCUAGACAAACAGCCCCAUCGGUCUGUCACACUCUUUCACGGGUAC